CAGCCGCCGCGGGAAUGCGUAGGUGGCGAGCGUUGUCCGGAAUUAUUGGGCGUAAAGGGCUCGCAGGCGGUUUCUUAAGUCUGAUGUGAAAGCCCCCGGCUCAACCGGGGAGGGUCAUUGGAAACUGGGAAACUUGAGUGCAGAAGAGGAGAGUGGAAUUCCACGUGUAGCGGUGAAAUGCGUAGAGAUGUGGAGGAACACCAGUGGCGAAGGCGACUCUCUGGUCUGUAACUGACGCUGAGGAGCGAAAGCGUGGGGAGCGAACAGGAUUAGAUACCCCAGUAGUCCCUGUCUCUUAUAC
rnacentral:rRNA from 1 species